UUAGAAGUCUGGAAAAACUAUUGUGCUUACUCGUCCCCAUGGAUUCAUAGCCAACAUGUUCUUCCUAAACAUGUUUUGUGAUUACUUUCUUCCCCUGCACACAUCAUAACUAACAAGUCUGGACACGUACCAGAAAAUGGAGAUGAUACGUGCCACCAUAUCUCAUUGCCCAUGUGCCAUACAUUCAGCCCUCGUUGUAAAUGAUCAUGUGUCACACAUGUUCAUCCAAUGGUUGUCAACUCACCAUCCGGGCCAAACUCAGCAAAACCUUCUCCUGUAAGGAGAUCCAGUGUUGGCACCAUAUGAUUGAAACAUUUACAGUAGAGGGACGUCCAAUUCACAUCACCGUUCAUGCGCCAUCCAACAUCAGCAAGGUGGAAACAAAUAUGAGUAACAACAAUGCGUGCUGUGCGGCCAAAAAACAACACGCUCGCUGGCCGUCGCCAUUGCUCGCCCUCGUUGCUGGGAGGAUGACUGCCACUUCCAUGGCUGCCCCGAAGAUAGAGGGUGACUGCCGCUACCACGCCCGCACCAUCGUAAGAGAGAGGGCGACCACUGCCAUGGCUGCACCAUGCCGCAAGGUUGCGUCGCUAUCGCGAAAGGCACCAAGCAAGUGCCACGUCGCUGACCCCGCACCAUCGCAAGAGGACGGUCGCGGCUGCCACGCAUGCAGCACUUCGUCGAGGACACGCUGCCAUGGGAGACGCCAAGCUAGCCUGAAAACUGAGAGCAAAUUGUUAACUGGUUUACAUGCAAAGCAGCGGAGUUUCAGGUUGUAAACUGACUUACAGGAAACAACAGGAGAGUUUCAGAUUGUAAACUAAUUUCAGAGCAGAUCAUUGGCACUAUAUAUUUUUGGGCAUAUCAAUGAUGGUGUAAAUUGAGAGUAGGUCAUUGACAUUGUCAACUUGGGAGCAUAUCACUUGAUGUUGUAAAACUGAUAACAGAAUUGAGGAUGGAAAAUAGGGAUUGAGAUCACUUGGUGGUGGUUUUUGUGAAUGAAUGCUAUAACUGAAUGGGCUGAAUUUUGGAGACUUUGGUCACUGAAUUGAACAUCACUGUGAGAUGCAAGUGGCAAAAGGGAACUGAAUUGAGCUGCAACAUAAUUGUACAUUACAGAAUGGCAAAAUGAACAUAACAACAUUGAGCAUCACACACAAGAGCAUAACAGCUCAUCCUCAAGCAGCCCGGCAAUCGAUUACUUUGUUCAUACGUGCGCUGCCUCGCCGCCUUUCCUACUUCACCUUUGUCGGACUGGGCCGCAUCACCCUUCUGGGCCGAUGACGCUGUGUGUCCAUGGGCAUUGCUUGCUGCCACCGGAUGGCGCAUGCCGGUGAUAUAAAUUUGAUGUCCCAUAGUCGUUUCAGCUAAGUCAGAGGAUCUGAAAAUUUGUCCCCAUCAUCGGCACAAUUACAUUCUCUGUGGAAUUGUCCGCGAAUUCCUUUAUUGCUUUCUCUAAAGUGGUCACCCUAUUUGGACAAAGUGUACCGGUGCCGUUGAGCCGGCCCGUACUCUGCCCAAAUAUGUCUAAAUAGAAGUCCACAUACCAUUCGACAGUGACAUCACUAGACUGUAAAUUAUUCAAUGCCAGAAUAGCAAUACAGACUAAUAUCCACCAAAUUACUGCCCACAACUGAAACCCACAUAUCAAGUUUUACUGAAGUGGCGUUUCCAACAGUUGCGCAAGUGGAAGGAAAAAAAUUACUUUUCUAACACAAGUCACCCAUGGAGCUCCCAAAUCUAUAUGCAGGCCGCUAGUAGACUAACUGUGAACACCACAUACUUCCAUGUCAAUGACGCACACCAAGCAAGUGGAAAUCAAUAGGAUUUUUUCAGUUAUGCACUAACCUCUUAGUCCACCCCGGGCUUGCUGGUCGACUGCGCGGACACCGGGUGUGAGUUAUUCCUUCCUCCAACCACGGCUUCUUCAUCCCAGAUCUGCGCGCCUACACUCAAGACUGGCGCCGGCGCUUGUUCCAGCUUCCCCACCAAAGCAGCCACCGUGGAAGGUGGCAGAUCCAUGGGGGGCUUCAUUGUCCUCCACCUCUUAAAGCACAGGGG
rnacentral:lncRNA from 1 species